rnacentral:lncRNA from 10 species
GAACCAUUUACCCUUCACGUGCCUCUUUUUCCGUGUAUGUGCCUCUUUCUCCUUGUAUGUAAAAUGAGUGAAAGAAAGAGGAGAGCUAGAUGAUACCAUUGUAACUCUUGUAUUUCAAGACACUCGUUUCUGCCUUGUCUCAGAUUACAAUCAUUUAGAGAUACAGAAAUAGGUAUUACAGUCAGAAUCCACGUUUUAGAGUAUAUCUGCUGACCCCAUGUCUGUGGAAGAUACUGAGAUGCAGGUACUGAGAAUGGGCCUCAAAAUUUUUCUGAAGACUGUGCUCCAGGAAGCUAUGCUCAACCAAAUGAAAUUGGCCCUACUUGUCAUCCUAGCAUAGCAGGUUUCGGUUUAUGAAAGACAGAGAAUAUGCAGCUCUCUCAGACACCUAAAUAUGAAGUGGCUUUCCACAGAUCUCUUUUCGAAGGUCGCAAUGAUUUGUAUGACAGCUGCUAGCCCAAGAGAGAGUUCCAGAAGAGGGCUACCUAACAGGUGCUGUGGCAUUUAGA